rnacentral:rRNA from 1 species
GACGAACGCUGGCGGCGUGCUUAACACAUGCAAGUCGAACGGAAAGGCCCUGCUCUUGUGGGGUGCUCGAGUGGCGAACGGGUGAGUAACACGUGAGUAACCUGCCCUUGACUUUGGGAUAACUUCAGGAAACUGGGGCUAAUACCGGAUAGGAGCUCCUGCUGCAUGGUGGGGGUUGGAAAGUUUCGGCGGUAGGGGAUGGACUCGCGGCUUAUCAGCUUGUUGGUGGGGUAGUGGCUUACCAAGGCUUUGACGGGUAGCCGGCCUGAGAGGUGGACCGGCCACAUUGGGACUGAGAGACGGCCCAGACUCCUACGGGAGGCAGCAGGGGGGAAUAUUGCACAAUGGGCGGAAGCCUGAUGCAGCAACGCCGCGUGCGGAAUGACGGCCUUCGGGUUGUGAACCGCUGUCGCCUGUGACGAAGCGUGAGUGACGGUAAUUGGUAAAGAAGCACCGGCUAACUACGUG